rnacentral:lncRNA from 1 species
GACAGAUCCUAAUGGUUUUGAAGGUAAAAAGAAGAACAAAGAAAAAAAGGGGAGAGAAGAAUAUUCAGUAAAAUAAAUUGUGGAUGAACAGGGAUAUGAUAAAAGUACGAGAGGUAGGGUGAAGAACUAACCUCAGGAACGGUGAAGUUGAUGGCCAUCUCCUCACAAAAAGGGUGAUCGAAGGCUUCGAGGUUGGUGAAGAAGGGGC